CAUCACGUGUUUGGGCGGACAACGGCCACAAGCGUAGAUCAGUACGAUUUCGAGAUAGAAGUUCCCCAUUGACGCUCUGAGAAUACCUUCCAAUCUACGGAGGCAGCAGUGAGGAAAUUGUUCAAUUGGCGAGAGCUGAUUAGCAGUAGCGGGCGGAAUGAGCCUAUGGGUGUAAACCGCUUUACAGGGGAUAAAGUGAGUCACGUGUGAUCAUGCAGGUACUGCGAAUAAGACCGCUAAUUCCGUGCCAGCAGCCGCGGUAAUACGAAGUCCGGGCGUAUCCGGAUUUAUUGGGUUUAAAGGGAGCACAGGCCGGGCUGUCAAGCGUGUUGUGAAAUGUAGGGGCUCAACCUCUGAACUGCAGCGCGAACUGACGGUCUUGAGUGCGCACAACGUUGGCGGAAUUCGUCGUGUAGCGGUGAAAUGCUUAGAUAUGACGAAGAACUCCGAUUGCGAAGGCAGCUGACGGGAGCGUUACUGACGCUUAAGCUCGAAAGUGCGGGUAUCGAACAGGAUUAGAUACCCUGGUAGUCCGCACGGUAAACGAUGGAUGCCCGCUGUUUGCGCCUGGCGUAAGCGGCUAAGUGAAAACGUUAAGCAUCCCACCUGGGGAGUACGCCGGCAACGGUGAAAUUCAAAGGAAUUGACGGGGGCCCGCACAAGCGGAGGAACAUGUGGUUUAAUUCGAUGAUACGCGAGGAACCUUACCCGGGCUUGAAUUGUGAGUGAAGGAUCCAGAGAUGGUGACUCCCUUCGGGGCACUCAUGAAGGUGCUGCAUGGUUGUCGUCAGCUCGUGCCGUGAGGUGUCGGCUUAAGUGCCAUAACGAGCGCAACCCCUGUCCUUAGUUGCCAGCAGGCAAAGCUGGGCACUCUGGGGAUACUGCCACCGCAAGGUGUGAGGAAGGUGGGGAUGACGUCAAAUCAGCACGGCCCUUACGUCCGGGGCUACACACGUGUUACAAUGGGGGGCACAGAAAGCCGGGAGCCCGCAAGGUCUCCCCAAUCCAUAAAUCCCCCCACAGUUCGGACUGGGGUCUGCAACCCGACCCCACGAAGCUGGAUUCGCUAGUAAUCGCGCAUCAGCCAUGGCGCGGUGAAUACGUUCCCGGGCCUUGUACACACCGCCCGUCAAGCCAUGAAAGCCGGGGGUGCCUGAAGUCCGUGACCGCGAGGGACGGCCUAGGGCAAAACUGGUAAUUGGGGCUAAGUCGUAACAAGGUAACCGUAAAUCACUGCCGUCGACCCCAC
rnacentral:rRNA from 1 species